CCCAACACACGUUAUAAAAGAGGUGGUAUGUGUCAGGUUCCCUCAGUGGGAAGCGGGACUUCUCGUGGCAGCGGUGACGAAUACAAAGAAAUUUCAGUACCCGCCGACUGUACUUGAGUUACUCUUCGUAGUCGCUCCGCUCGCACCUCCAGCAUGCCUGGCCACGUUGUGAAGAGCACGGGUCCCGACCCCGACCCCACCGAAUACCUCUUCGUUUCCCCUGAACAAAAGCGCAUCGACCAGACGAAGCCGUACGACCCCAAGAAGUCCGUCUGGGCUCCCGAUCCCGAGGAGGGCUUCGUUGAAGCUAUUCUCCAGGGAGCCAAAGGCGACAAGCUGGUAACGGUUAAGCUUCCCAACGGUGAAACGAAGGACUUCAAAAAGGAAGUCAUCGGUCAGGUCAACCCUCCCAAAUACGAAAAAUGUGAGGAUGUGUCUAAUCUGACUUUCCUUAACGAUGCUUCUGUCCUGUACAACCUAAAGACCCGUUAUCAGGCCAGACUUAUCUACACUUACUCCGGUCUUUUCUGCAUUGUCGUCAACCCCUACAAGCGCUACCCCAUCUACACCAACCGCGUCGUCAAAAUCUACCAGGGCAAGAGGCGUAAUGAGGUGCCCCCUCAUCUCUUCGCCAUCUGCGACGGUGCCUACGCGAACAUGAUGCAAGAGCGUCAGAACCAGUCUAUGCUCAUCACUGGCGAGUCUGGAGCCGGCAAGACUGAGAACACAAAGAAGGUGUUGUCUUAUUUUGCCAACGUCGGCGCCUCCGGAAAGAAAGAAGACAACAAAAAGAACUUAGAGGACCAGAUUAUCCAGACCAACCCCAUCCUUGAGGCCUAUGGUAACGCCAAAACCACUCGUAAUGACAACUCUUCUCGUUUCGGUAAGUUCAUCCGUGUGCACUUCAUGCCCACCGGUAAACUGUCUGGCGCUGAUAUCGAGGUCUACCUGCUGGAGAAGGCUCGUGUCAUCUCCCAGUCCCCCGCCGAGCGAGGCUACCAUAUCUUCUACCAGUUGAUGUGCGACCAGAUUGAAAACAUUAAGCCAAUCUGUCUACUGUCGAAUGAUAUCUACGACUAUCACUUCGUGUCCCAAGGAAAAGUAACCGUCCCAUCCAUUGACGACAAGGAAGACAUGCAGUUCACUCAUGAUGCAUUUGACAUCCUGAACUUUACCAAUGAAGAGAGAGACAACUGCUACAAGGUCACGGCGUCUAUCAUGCACUUUGGCAACUGCAAGUUCAAGCAGAGGGGACGCGAGGAGCAGGCCGAACCCGAUGGAACUGAGCCCGGUGAAAUUGUUGGAAAGCUUCUUGGUGUAGACGGCGAGGAGCUCUAUAGGAACCUGUGUAAACCCAAGAUCAAGGUCGGCACUGAGUUCGUCACUCAAGGAAGGAAUGUCGAUCAGGUCAACUACAGCGUCGGUGCUAUGUCAAAGGCUCUGUUCGACCGUACUUUCAAGUGGAUUGUCAAGAAGUGUAACCUGACACUUGAGACUGGCCUGACUCGUUCCAUGUUCAUUGGCGUGCUCGACAUCGCCGGCUUUGAAAUCUUCGACUUCAACGGUUUCGAGCAGAUCUGUAUCAACUUCUGUAACGAGAAGCUGCAACAGUUCUUCAACCACCACAUGUUCGUACUAGAACAGGAGGAAUAUGCAAGAGAAGGUAUUGUGUGGCAGUUCGUUGACUUCGGCAUGGAUCUGCAGGCUUGCAUUGAGCUCUUUGAAAAGAAAAUGGGUAUCCUCUCCAUUCUUGAGGAAGAGUCUAUGUUCCCCAAGGCUACUGACAAAACAUUCGAGGAGAAGCUCAAUAUCAACCAUCUUGGAAAGUCACCUUGCUUCAUCAAGCCCAAGCCUCCAAAGGCCGGUCAGCCUGAGAACCACUUUGCCAUUGUUCACUACGCUGGUACUGUGUCCUACAACCUGACUGGCUGGCUUGAGAAGAACAAGGAUCCUCUCAACGACACCGUCGUCGACCAGCUCAAGAAGUCUUCCAAUGCCCUGACGGUUGAGCUGUUCGCUGAUCAUCCUGGCCAAUCUGGAGAUGGAGGCGGCAAAGGAGGAAAGGGAGGAAAACAGCAAACUGGUUUCAAAACCGUGUCUUCGGGUUACAAGGAUCAACUGAGUAACUUGAUGAAGACGCUGAACGCCACUCACCCUCACUUCAUCCGUUGCAUUGUGCCCAACGAGUUCAAGAAACCAGGUGUUGUUGAUGCCGGCCUCAUUAUGCAUCAGUUGACCUGCAACGGUGUACUUGAGGGCAUCCGUAUCUGCCGGAAGGGAUUCCCCAACAGGAUGCCUUAUGCUGACUUCAAGACGCGUUACAAUAUCCUGGCCGCCAAGGAGAUGCUCGAGGCGAAGGACGAUAAGAAAGCGGCCAAGGCAUGCUUCGACAAGGUCGCCCUCGACGCAGAGUUAUACCGCACAGGGAACACUAAGGUGUUCUUCCGCGCCGGUGUCCUGGGUACCCUCGAGGAGAUUCGCGACGACCGGAUCUGCCUGCUCAUGUCCCAUCUCCAGUCGUGGAUCCGCGGCUACGCCAGCCGAAAGCAAUAUGCCAAAAUGCAGAAGCAGAGAAAUGCUCUCAUUAUCAUCCAGCGCAACAUCAGGAAGUACCAGAAGAUGCGCUCUUGGCUCUGGUACGAGAUGUGGACGAAGCUGAAGCCCAAGCUCAACGUUACUCGCAUUGAGGAUGAGCUGGCUAGGCUGGAGGAAACCGCUGAGAAGGCUGAGGCUGAGUAUGAAAAGGAAACGAAACUCCGCGAGGAACUUGAGAUAAAAAAUGCUGCUCUUCUUCAGGAGAGGAAUGACCUUUUGUCAGCCGUAGAGUCUAGCAAAGGUGGUAUGUCUGACUAUCUAGAUAAGCAGGCCAAGUUGCAAGCUCAGAAGGCUGAGUUAGAGGCCCAGCUUAACGAAACCCUAGAACGCCUCCAAGGUGAAGAGGAAGCUCGCAACCAGUUGGAUAACGGCAGGAAAAAAUGUGAACAGGAGGUUAACCUGAAAGGACCUGGAAGAUCUCGAGCUCUCCAUCCAGAAAGGCGAGCAGGACAAGCUCACAAAAGAUCAGCAGAUCCAUAAUCUUAAAGACGAAGUCGCUCACCAAGAGGAACUAAUCACUAAGGUAAAUAAGGAAAAGAAGCACCUUCAGGAAUGCAACCAGAAGACUGCCGAAGAUCUCCAGGCCAUUGAGGACAAGUGCAACCACCUCAACAAAGUCAAGGGAAAACUUGAAUCAACGCUCGAUGAACUCGAGGAUUCUCUCGAACGCGAGAAGAAGCUUCGCAGUGAGGUAGAGAAGGCCAAAAGGAAAGUCGAAGGUGACCUCCGGCUGACCCAGGAAGCUGUUUCUGAUCUCGAAAGGAAUCACAAGGAACUCGAAAUGGCCGUCGAACGCAAGGAUAAGGAGAUUUCUGCCAUCACUGCCAAAAUCGAGGAUGAACAGCUUCUUGUGAACAGGGACCAAAGGCAGGUCAAGGAACUGCAAGCUCGCCUGGAGGAACUCGAGGAGGAAGUCGAGCAUGAACGUCAAGCCCGCGCGAAGGCCGAAAAAGCCAAGAAUAAUCUCUCUCGCGAGCUGGGAGAACUUGGCGAGCGACUGGAUGAGGCCGGCGGUGCCACGGCGACUCAGAUCGAGAUCAACAAAAAGCGUGAGAGCGAACUCGCUAAGGUCCGGCGCGAGAUCGAAGAAGCCAACCUCCAGCAUGAGGCCGCCCUAGCUUCCCUGCGCAAGAAGCACAAUGAUGCCAUUGCUGAGAUGUCUGAGCAGAUCGACUAUCUCAACAAGAUGAAGGCCAGAGUUGAGAAAGAUAAGGAGACAAUGAAGCGUGAUGCAGAUGAUGCAAGAGCUUCCAUGGAUUCCCUUAGUCGUGAAAAGACUGCUUCCGAGAAGACUACCAAGCAACUUCAACAUCAGUUAAGUGAACUCCACGCUAAGCUCGACGAAGCCAACCGCACCUUGAGUGACUUUGACGCCACCAAGAAGAAGCUUGCCUGCGAGAAUGCUGACCUGGUCCGCCAGCUGGAAGAGGCGGAGAACCAAGUCGGCCAGCUGUCCAGGCUGAAGCUGUCUCUCACCAACCAGCUGGAUGACACAAGGAAGCUCGCUGAUGAGGAGAGCAGGGGACGUGCCACACUCUUGGGUAAGCUGCGCAACUUAGAGCACGAUAUUGACGUUCUUCGCGAGCAACUGGAAGAGGAGAGCGAGGCGAAGGCGGACGUUCAGCGAAUGCUCUCCAAGGCUAACGCUGAGGCUCUCAUGUGGCGCUCCAAGUACGAGUCUGAAGGUGUUGCCCGUGCAGAGGAACUUGAAGCUUCUCGCAUGAAGCUCGCCGCUCGUCUCGAGGAAGCCGAAAUGCAGAUCGAAUCGCUCAAUGUUAGGAACUUGCAUCUUGAGAAGACCAAGGUGCGUGCUUCCGCCGAAUUAGAGGAUCUCCAGGCUGCUGCUGAGCGUGCGCAGACCCUUGCUCUUGCCGCUGAGAAGAAACAGAAGAACUUCGAUAAGAUCCUCUCAGAAUGGAAGAUGAAGGUUGAUGACCUUUCUGCUGAACUCGAUGCCUCCCAGAAGGAAUGCCGCAACUACUCCACCGAACACUUCCGUCUAAAGGCGGCCUACGAAGAGAACAUCGAACAACUCGACAGCAUCCGGCGUGAGAACAAGAACCUCAGUGAUGAGAUUAAAGACCUGAUGGACCAGAUUGGCGAAGGUGGGCGAGCUUAUCAUGAAGCUCAGAAGAACUGUAAACGACUGGAAGUCGAGAAGGAAGAGCUCCAAGCAGCUCUCGAGGAGGCUGAGGCAGCUCUGGAACAGGAGGAGAACAAGGUCCUCCGAACACAGCUCGAACUCAGCCAAGUCAGGCAAGAGAUUGACAGACGUAUUCAGGAGAAGGAAGAAGAAUUUGAAAAUACUCGCAAGUGUCACCAGCGUGCAAUUGAUUCCAUGCAAGCGUCUCUUGAGGUUGAAGCCAAGGGCAAGGCUGAGGCUCUUCGUAUAAAGAAGAAACUCGAGUCCGAUAUCAACGAGCUCGAGAUUGCCCUUGACCACGCCAAUAAGGCCAAUUCCGACCUUCAUAAACAUUACAAGAAGAUUCAGGAAGAGACCAAGGACAUGGAAGCCCGCGUUAAGGAGGAACAACGUCUUGCCGCUGAGUUUCUUGAACAGUAUGGCAUUGCUGAACGCCGUGCCAAUGCUCUUCAUGGAGAGCUGGAGGAAUCCCGCGCUCUCCUGGAGCAGUCCGACCGCGGGCGCCGCCAGGCCGAGUCUGAGCUGAACGAUGCACGCGAUCAUGUCAACAGCCUCACCGAACAGAACUCUGCUCUCAACGCCUCCAAGAGAAAGCUCGAGGGUGAAAUGCAGACACUGCAUGCUGACCUUGAAGAGAUGCUUAGCGAAGCAAAGAACUCCGAGGAAAAAGCAAAGAAGGCCAUGAUCGAUGCUGCUCGUUUGGCUGAUGAACUCCGCUCUGAGCAGGAGCAUGCAAUGACACAAGAAAAGAUGCGCAAGGGUCUCGAGGUUACCGUUAAAGAGCUGCAGACUCGCCUUGAGGAGACUGAAAGUACUGUCAUGAAGACCGGAAAGAAGGCGAUCAGCAACCUCGAAUCUCGUAUCCGUGAGCUCGAGGCUUCGCUGGACGACGAGUCUCGUCGCCAUGCAGACUCUCAGAAGAACCUGAGGAAGUGCGAGAGGCGCAUCAAGGAGCUCGCCUUCCAGGCUGACGAGGAUAAGAAGAAUCAUGAGAGGAUGCAGGACCUCGUCGAUAAGCUCCAGCAGAAGAUCAAGACCUACAAGCGCCAGAUCGAGGAGGCUGAGGAGAUCGCCGCUCUCAACCUGGCCAAGUUCCGUAAGGCUCAGCAGGAGCUUGAGGAAGCAGAGGCCUCCAAGUAUUAAACUUUGUUGAUUUCAGAUCUAUGUGAUUUGAAACAACAGAGUCAUAGAUGUAGAAAUAAAAUAAGAAAAUUAA